GUAUUUCGUGGGUGAUUGUUCCUGUCUCUGUGUAGUUUCACCAGAUAGGCUGUAAUAGGUUUCACGUUCCGUUUGUUGUUUUUGUAUUUUGUAUAGUUAUUUCAUGUGUCACUUUUUCCAUUAAAGUCAUGAGUAACCACCA